rnacentral:rRNA from 1 species
AGUGAACGCUGGCGGCAGGCUUUACACAUGCAAGUCGAACGGCAGCACAGUAUUCGCUUGCUCUUACGGGUGCCGAGUGGUGGGUGGUUGAUGAAUACAUCGGCAUUAAUUUUUUAGAGGGGGGUAAAGGCGGGAUAAAUACGGCAAUCCCGCAUACGACCUACGGGUGAAAGCAGGGGAUCUUCGGACCUUGCGCGAGUGAAUGAGGCGAUGUCGGAUUAGCUAGUUGGAGGGGUAAAGGCCCACCAAGGCGACGAUCCGUAGCUGGUCUGAGAGGAUGACCAGCCACACUGGAACUGAGACACGGUCCAGACUCCUACGGGAGGCAGCAGUGGGGAAUUUUGGACAAUGGGGGCAACCCUGAUCCAGCCAUGCCGCGUGCGGGAAGAAGGCCUUCGGGUUGUAAAGCGCUUUUGUUGGGGAAGAAAAGCAGUGGGUUAAUACCCCGCGGGGAUGACGGUACCGGAAGAAUAAGCACCGGCUAACUUCGUG